rnacentral:rRNA from 1 species
GACGAACGCUGGCGGCGUGCUUAACACAUGCAAGUCGAACGGAAAGGCCCUGCUUUUGUGGGGUGCUCGAGUGGCGAACGGGUGGGUAACACGUGAGUAACCUGCCCUUGACUUUGGGAUAACUUCAGGAAACUGGGGCUAAUACCGGAUAGGAGCUCCUGCUGCAUGGUGGGGGUUGGAAAGUUUCGGCGGUUGGGGAUGGACUCGCGGCUUAUCAGCUUGUUGGUGGGGUAGUGGCUUACCAAGGCUUUGACGGGUAGCCGGCCUGAGAGGGUGACCGGCCACAUGGGGACUGAGAUACGGCCCAGACUCAUACGGGAGGCAGCAGUGGGGAAUAUUGCACAAUGGGCGGAAGCCUGAGGCAGCAACGCCGCGUGCGGGAUGACGGCCUUCGGGUUGUAAACCGCUUUCGCCUGUGACGAAGCGUGAGUGACGGUAAUGGGUAAAGAAGCACCGGCUAACUACGU